rnacentral:rRNA from 1 species
GCUGACCAGCUAGCCCACCCUAACAAAAACAACAACCCAAUAUAAAUAACCCCAAACACACUACUCCUCCUAUAAACAAACCAUUUUACCCCCCUAGUAUGGGCGACAGAAAAGGAACUAUUGGAGCGAUAGAGAAAGUACCGCAAGGGAACGCUGAAAGAGAAAUGAAAUAACCCAGUAAAGCCUAAAAAAGCAGAGAUUUUACCUCGUACCUUUUGCAUCAUGAUUUAGCUAGUACUACCCAAGCAAAGAGAACUUUAGUUUGGACCCCCGAAACUAGGUGAGCUACUCCAAGACAGCCUAUCAAUAGGGCAAACCCGUCUCUGUGGCAAAAGAGUGGGAAGAGCUUUGAGUAGAGGUGACAGACCUACCGAACCUAGUUAUAGCUGGUUGCCUGAGAAUUGGAUAGGAGUUCAGCCUCCAGGCUUCUCUAUUCACCGCGGUCUUACCCCUACCGAUGCACUAAAGAAGCCUAGAGAGUUAAUCAAAGGGGGUACAGCCCCUUUGAGACAAGAUACAACUUUUCCAGGAGGGUAAAGAUCAUAUUUACCCAAGGUAACAAUGCCCAGGUGGGCCUAAAAGCAGCCAUCCUUACAGAAAGCGUUAAAGCUCAAGCAUUACACCUUCCCACAUAUUCAGAUAACCAUAUCCCAACCCCCUAAUAUUAUCAGGCCAUCUCAUGCAUACAUGAGAGUGCACAUGCUAAUAUGAGUAACAAGAGAGCCUCCGCCUCUCUCCUUGCACACGUGUAAAUCGGAACGAACCCCCACCGAAACUUAACGGCCCCAAACAAAGAGGGCAAUGAACAACAAGUAAGCAACCAGAAAACCAUCCAAAAAACAACCGUUAACCCCACACUGGUGUGCCAUUAAGGAAAGACUAAAAGAAAAAGAAGGAACUCGGCAAACAUACCAAGCCUCGCCUGUUUACCAAAAACAUCGCCUCUUGCAAAAACAAAGAAUAAGAGGUCCAGCCUGCCCUGUGACUAUAUGUUUAACGGCCGCGGUAUUUUAACCGUGCGAAGGUAGCGCAAUCACUUGUCUUUUAAAUGGAGACCUGUAUGAAUGGCAUUACGAGGGCUUAACUGUCUCCUUUUUCUAGUCAGUGAAAUUGAUCUCCCCGUGCAGAAGCGGGGAUGUAACCAUAAGACGAGAAGACCCUAUGGAGCUUUAGACACCAAGGCAUAUCAUGUCAAACACCCCUAAACAAAGGACUAAACCAAAUGAAUCAUGCCCCCAUGUCUUUGGUUGGGGCGACCGCGGGGAAAUAAAAAACCCCCACGUGGAAUGGGAGUACUACCUCCUACAACCAAGAGCUGCAGCUCUAAAAAACAGAAUAUCUGACCAAUAAGAUCCGGCAACGCCGAUCAACGGACCGAGUUACCCUAGGGAUAACAGCGCAAUCCCCUUUUAGAGCCCAUAUCGACAAGGGGGUUUACGACCUCGAUGUUGGAUCAGGACAUCCUAAUGGUGCAGCCGCUGUUAAGGGUUCGUUUGUUCAACGAUUAAAGUCCUACGUGAUCUGAGUUCAGACCGGAGUAAUCCAGGUCAGUUUCUAUCUAUGAUAUGUUCUUUUCUAGUACGAAAGGACCGAAAAGAAGAGGCCAAUGCUAAAAGCACGCCUCACCCCUCCUAUUGAAAACAACUAAAAUAGGCAAAAGGGCAUACCCCUCCACGCCCAAGAUAAUGGCAU